rnacentral:rRNA from 1 species
UGAACGCUGGCGGCAGGCCUAACACAUGCAAGUCGAGCGGAAACGGCGGUAUUGAAGCUUCGGUGGAUUUACUGGACGUCGAGCGGCGGACGGGUGAGUAACGGCUGGGAACCUGCCCCGACGAGGGGGAUAACCGUUGGAAACGACGGCUAAUACCGCAUAAUGUCUUGAUUCGUUAGAGUCAGGACCAAAGGUGGCCUCUACAUGUAAGCUAUCGCGUUGGGAUGGGCCCAGUUAGGAUUAGCUAGUUGGUAAGGUAAUGGCUUACCAAGGCAACGAUCCUUAGCUGGUUUGAGAGGAUGAUCAGCCACACUGGGACUGAGACACGGCCCAGACUCCUACGGGAGGCAGCAGUGGGGAAUAUUGCACAAUGGGGGAGACCCUGAUGCAGCCAUGCCGCGUGUGUGAAGAAGGCCUUCGGGUUGUAAAGCACUUUCAGCAGUGAGGAAGGUCGUGUACUUAAUACGUGCACGGCUUGACGUUAGCUGCAGAAGAAGCACCGGCUAACUCCGUGCCAGCAGCCGCGGUAAUACGGAGGGUGCGAGCGUUAAUCGGAAUUACUGGGCGUAAAGCGCAUGCAGGCGGUUUGUUAAGUCAGAUGUGAAAGCCCGGGGCUCAACCUCGGAACCGCAUUUGAAACUGGCAGGCUAGAGUCUUGUAGAGGGGGGUAGAAUUUCAGGUGUAGCGGUGAAAUGCGUAGAGAUCUGAAGGAAUACCAGUGGCGAAAGGCGGCCCCCUGGACAAAGACUGACGCUCAGAUGCGAAAGCGUGGGUAGCAAACAGGAUUAGAUACCCUGGUAGUCCACGCCGUAAACGCUGUCUACUUGGAGGUUGAGGUUUUAGACUUUGGCUUUCGGCGCUAACGCAUUAAGUAGACCGCCUGGGGAGUACGGCCGCAAGGUUAAAACUCAAAUGAAUUGACGGGGGCCCGCACAAGCGGUGGAGCAUGUGGUUUAAUUCGAUGCAACGCGAAGAACCUUACCUACUCUUGACAUCCAGCGAAGCCUUUAGAGAUAGAGGCGUGCCUUCGGGAGCGCUGAGACAGGUGCUGCAUGGCUGUCGUCAGCUCGUGUUGUGAAAUGUUGGGUUAAGUCCCGCAACGAGCGCAACCCUUAUCCUUGUUUGCCAGCACAUAAUGGUGGGAACUCCAGGGAGACUGCCGGUGAUAAACCGGAGGAAGGUGGGGACGACGUCAAGUCAUCAUGGCCCUUACGAGUAGGGCUACACACGUGCUACAAUGGCAGAUACAGAGGGCAGCGAGACAGCGAUGUUUAGCGAAUCCCUUAAAGUUUGUCGUAGUCCGGAUUGGAGUCUGCAACUCGACUCCAUGAAGUCGGAAUCGCUAGUAAUCGUGGAUCAGAGUGCCACGGUGAAUACGUUCCCGGGCCUUGUACACACCGCCCGUCACACCAUGGGAGUGGGCUGCACCAGAAGUAGAUAGCUUAACCUUCGGGAGGGCAAUUUACCACGGUGUGGUUCAUGACUGGGGUGA